AACAGAGGGGUCGAGCGGUGGUCGGAAUUACUGGGCGUAAAGGGGGCGUAGGAGGCCGCGCAAGUCAGGCGUGAAAGCCCGGGGCUCAACCCCGGAACGGCGUUUGAAACUGCGCGGCUGGAGGGCCGGAGAGGCUGCCGGAAUUCCCGGUGUAGCAGUGAAAUGCGUAGAGAUCGGGAGGAACACCAAAGGCGAAGGCAGGCAGCUGGAAGGCAACUGACUCUGAGGCACGAAAGCCAGGGGAGCAAACGGG
rnacentral:rRNA from 1 species